rnacentral:misc_RNA from 1 species
CCACAUCCACCUUGUUCUGUGGCCCUGCUCACUCGUGCUCUCCUCCGUGCGCGUGCUCGCCCCCGUGCUGCUGACGUUUUUUUUUUCUUGAUUCAGCAUGUUGACACCAUCACCGGCAACGAGGUCCAUCACCACCCACUCGCUCAUCCCGCACACACGCACACACACACGCAACUGCGCUUGUGGAUUUGGUUCUCUUGGUACGCUGCUCGCUUCUGGUGGUGCUUCUACCCGCUGUCACGGCCAUCAAAGCCCACCGCCUCCCUUCCACCACCACCCCCUUCUGCCGCCCGCAUAGAUCCCUCGCCCCCUCUUCUCCUCCACUCGUUAUUGCCCACCACUCCGGUGGCUGCGCGACCUCCAUCGAGUGUGUGCGUGUGCCCCGGAACGCACUCGCCACUGCUUUCCUCGCCGUCGAGAGGAGAACAACAUCGCGCGCGAGCACCGAGAGAGGUGAAGAGGUCGAAGCCGUUGGCAGGUGCCCUCUGUUGGCGACAUCCACAAAGAGAGAGACGCACAGAGACAUCCGUGCGGCAGCCCUGUCGGUGUAUUGUCCAAGGAGGAGAAGUGGGGCAUGCAAUCGUGGCGAGAGGGAGAGGCGUGACGCGCGGCAACGAAGCGAACCGCGGCCAAGCAUGGAGGGCAACUUCUACGUGUCCGACGUGGUGAUCGACCGCGAGCUCAAAUCGAAGUACGGCAUGGCGUACAGAAAGUGCCCCAACGAGUCGAAGCGUUACGGGCAGUGCGUUGAAGCCGGCCAGAUCAACCGCAGCCUGCAGCGCGACAGCUGCGCCGAGGAGCGCCACGCACUCCGCGCAUGCGUCGCAACGCACCUUCGCAAUAUCGCCAUCGGCAGCAGGGCCUCGUGUGCUGCCAACAGUGGUACACAGAGCCAGUGAUGCCAACGAAGCCAGGCUGCACCGUGCGCCUGCCCUCGAGCACCCACACACAAAGAACACGGAAGGUGCAUACACACGUGUGUGUGUGUGUGUAGGGGGGGGGGGGGGGGUGAGCGACAUGAAGCGUGUCUGGGCGCCGGUGCUGGCUCCUGUGGGGGUGACAGUGAGCAGUGGCCUGCACUAACAAUGGCCGUGAUCAUGUCUGGGGCGCUUGAUGCGUCUCUCUGUGUAUAGUUGUACGUGUGUGUGUGUGUGUGUGUGUACACAGUCGACUGAAGCGGGCUGGCGGCCGUGUCGUCCUGUCGACCUCCUCGCAGCAACCGAACAAGGUAUAGGGCGUCUUUGGAGGAUGGAUGCGCCCGGGUGCGCGAUGGACAAGGGGGAGGAGGACAAGAGUGAUGCUAAGGCACACUCCAGGGCUGCACGUCAGCAUCGUAGCGUCCAUUAUGAAUCGUCGGAGAGGGAAAGAGAAAGGACGUCACUGCCGCCUUCGUUGUCAGGGUGGGAAGGGAAGGGGGUGCGGCUCGGUGCGCUGUUUCUCGCGUCCGUAUCGCAUCUCCGCCCUUUUUCAUUCCUGCGGUGGUGUGGAGAUGCACGAUGGCAGGUGGUUCAUAGCCCUCGUGGGCCGUCGCCCCCCCUUCCUCCCCCCACCCGCCCUCGCUGGCCCUUGUGCUUCGUACCUUUUCCUUAUCGCUCCCUCUAUCUCUUCGGCCUAUAUCUUUAUCUCUGCGUGUUCGUGCGCGCGUGCAUGGCGGUGACGGCACGAGUGGUGCUCUGCUUCACGCCGCUGGGUCGCACACACCCGCAUGCGUAG